CAAUAUGAAUCAUCUUAUUCUUCUUUUCACUCUUGCAUUCGCUUUAUCGAGACCAAUCGCAGCAUGGCCAUGCAAAGGCUGCAAAGACGUGUUCGACGAUUUUAGCCGAUGUGGGGACUAUAUUCAAGGAGAAGGCAUCAGCCCGACACCAACGUGCUGCCAUAGUGUAACGAAUUUGAAUUCUAUGGCGAAGCAAGAAACGGGUGGUUCUAUAAGAAUAUGCAAAUGUAUAGAGCAUUUUGUGAGUUAUAAAGCCUCCAAUCCGUUCAAUGAAUCGCGCAUCUGAGAACUGCCUCUCAAGUGCAACACACACUUGAGUUUUCCGAUUUAGGAGCGCAUGAAUUGCUAUAGGAUCGUUUGAAAGAUUAGUCUCUACCAUUAUUUGAUUCAUAGUUAGUAGUAGUAUGGAUAUCAGUAUAUGUUAGUAAAUUUGUUUCCAUUAUUGGUGGAAUUAUUUAAAGAAGUUAUACUUAGUUUUUC